GCUGUGAUUCUCUGGUCUCAGCUCUGAAGUCCAACCCCUCCCAUCUGAAACAUCUGGACCUGAGUUACAACAACCUGAAGGAUUCAGAUGUGAAGCAGCUUCUUGAUCUUGUGGAGAGUCCAGCAUAUAAACUGGAUACUCUAUGGAGAGUAGAGGAUUCCAGUCAGUCCAUGCUGCUUUCAUCAGUAUCGUCCUAAACACAGUGGAAGUAUUAACCAGGAGGGUGUGUGUUGUGAGAGGAUGAGCUGUGUCCUGAUGAUCCAGAGAUUGAAGCAGACUCUGACUGGACCAUGUUACUGGGAGGUGGAGAGGAGAGCUUCAUCCACAUGGUCUCCAUUUAAGACCAAAAAAAAAAAAAAACUCAUUUGUGGGGAUUUCAACAUUGAUUUGCUGAUUCUAAAUCAGCAUAAAUCAACAGAUGAGUUCAUCCAAAUAAUGUAUAGUAUGAGUCUGAAUGACAUCAGCGAUCAUCUGCCUGUCUUUCUUAUUCAUGAAUAUAAUGAUAUAACAAUGAGGGAAUUAAAGGAAAUUAAAUAUAAGAGAAUAAGUUUUACAUUCCCAGAUCUAUAUGAUAAGCACUGCCCUCUUAAACAGUGUAACACCAAGAACCAUUUGGCAGAAAACCCAUGAAUGACCAAGGGGCUUCAAAAUGCCUGUAAAAAAUGAACUGCUUGUAGAGACUGUUUAUAAAAUAAAACAAAAGAGGCAGAGUUUAAAUAUAA